rnacentral:lncRNA from 1 species
GCCGCCAAGAUCCCAGAAGUUAAAGGACACCCCGGCGAUGUCGAUCUUGCCGAUGUUCAAACCCACGGUGGUUGUAAUCUUGCUUGGAUUCAUACCCUUGUAAUUCUUCGUGAACUUCGUUUUUGCCGCCUCCAGGUCACCUUACCGUUUUCCCCGCAUUGUCGAGGCCCAGGAUCAAUAUGAAGUACUCGUCCUUUUGCACCAGGCCCGCUGACUUGUCACGCUCAUGCCAUAUUGGCUAAUCUGGAGUCGCUGCUGUAUCUGCGUACGAAGCAGCGAGAAGUAAUACACGACCAUACAGAUCUGUUCUAUUCUCUAAACUUUCGGUACAGAUUAUCUUUUCUCUUUUUUUCCUCUUCAACGUGAAAAAAAGAGCGAAGAUAAAUCGUUGAAAAAAUUUAAAAGACCUCGUGUUUACAUGUGUCACUUGCAUAGUGACAUAACACUGUACUGAUAUUUCGUAUUUAAUUGCGGAAGCGACUGAUCACGUAGAUCUCGUUACAUCAGUAUUGUUAGAUCAUACUUAUAAUAAAUGUAAUAAAAAAUUAAUAUAUUAUAGAUAAAUAUAAUUCCUAACAAAUAUUGCGGACUUUUAUAUUCUCUCCUAAAAAUUUCUAUGAACUUUCUUUCCUUCUCACAAAAUGCUAAAAUAUAACAAAACUCAAAUUUAGAAAAUCCUGGCAACAUUGUAUACAUACCCUAUUAUUCAAAGUAUCAUCUAUUUAGUCUAUUAUUUUCAUAAUUUAAUUGAAUCUAUAUUUUCAUAAAUUAGGCAAUCCAAUAACUAUAAUUUAUAACUUAUUAAAAGGAAAUCAAGGACUGGGAAAUUUGAAAAAUGUGGCUCAAAUGAAAAACGCCAGAUAUCCUUGAAAUUAUUUAUUUUAUUUUAUUGUUGAUAAUGUAGAUCUUGCUCCUAGCUGCAAUACAUAUUCGUAAUCCAAAAGUAGUAUUACUACUUUUUUAUGUACAGCGCUAUAUUCAAUUACUUUGUUCUUUUUUAAUUUACUUUAUGCCCUCCACUUUCUCAUCUCACUACUCGUCGUUCAGUCUUGUCGUAAUAUAGUACUUAUGAAGCAGCACGGUGCACACACUCCUGUUAAAUUCCGAAAUCCCAUUUGCUUUCUUUUAAACACAAACACCAAGUUUACCCUCGCACACUACCUUACGUUAGAUAAAAUAUCAUUUCGAGACCUUCGAACAGGGUAGAGAUCACGUAAUAUUUUUUUUUAUGGUAAAGAUGUAAAAUAAAAUUUUUUAUUAUUAAAGUUAAUGGAGUCAAAUUUUUCGCUUUUCACAUCUUUAAUCGAAGGAAAAAACGUAUAAUCGUUGCCAAAAAGAUUGGCGUAAAUGCGUGAAACAGAUUCCUGCAUUGGAAAUCGUUAGUGCUUCACUCUACAAAGUGGUAGUAUAUAUUUUCUUUCACGAGACUUUAUAGUUUAUAUUAAAUGGGACAAACGUUGGGGGAACAAAAUUUUUCCAAAAUUUUGCGCAUUAUAUUUAAUUGAGCUAUCGUUUUGAUGUUACGUGUUACUUUAUUCCAUUUGAUGUAAGAUAAUAAUUCAUUUUUACAUCUAAAAAAUUGCACUAUUUGUAGUGUCUAAUUCGUAGUGUUUAGUUUAAUGCUUAGCCAAAGUCAACUCUUAACGUUAACGAGUGAAGCUCGUGCUCCUUCAUACUAUUUCUGAUACACUCAUACACGCAUACCUAGGGCUACAUAAACAACUGCUAUUACUUCACAGUGCAGUUUAAUAAAAAGAAUUCGAAUACGAAUGUAACGGAAACAUAUAUCGACGUAUGUAUUAAGUAUGUAUGUAUAAAGUAUUGUAUCGCAUUAAUCAAAGUUGGGAAAAUUAUUCCUUAAAAAAAAAA